AUCUUUGCGCAGUGACAUUACCGUAGCUGAUGAGGUCCAUCCGAGGCGCGGUUAUUGCUGAUUGAAAACUUUUCCCAAUACCCCGCGAGACGACUUGAAACAUAGUCGGCUUUGCAAUUUUUGUGGGCCCUGCUUAGGG
rfam:Nematostella vectensis strain CH2 x CH6 NEMVEscaffold_423_Cont26817, whole genome shotgun sequence.